CCCACGAGGCCCAACCUCCCAUCCGUGUUGAACUACACCUGUUGCUUCGGCGGGCCCGCCGUGGUUCACGCCCGGCCGCCGGGGGGCCUUGUGCUCCCGGGCCCGCGCCCGCCGAAGACCCCUCGAACGCUGCCCUGAAGGUUGCCGUCUGAGUAUAAAAUCAAUCAUUAAAACUUUCAACAACGGAUCUCUUGGUUCCGGCAUCGAUGAAGAACGCAGCGAAAUGCGAUAAGUAAUGUGAAUUGCAGAAUUCCGUGAAUCAUCGAAUCUUUGAACGCACAUUGCGCCCCCUGGCAUUCCGGGGGGCAUGCCUGUCCGAGCGUCAUUGCUAACCCUCCAGCCCGGCUGGUGUGUUGGGUCGACGUCCCCCCCCCGGGGGACGGGCCCGAAAGGCAGCGGCGGCGCCGCGUCCGAUCCUCGAGCGUAUGGGGCUUUGUCACGCGCUCUGGUAGGGUCGGCCGGCUGGCCAGCCAGCGACCUCACGGUCACCUAUUUUUUCUCUUAGGUUGACCUCGGAUCAGGUAGGGAUACCCGCUGAACUUAAGCAUAUCAAUAAGCGGAGGAAAAGAAACCAACAGGGAUUGCCCUAGUAACGGCGAGUGAAGCGGCAAGAGCUCAAAUUUGAAAUCUGGCUCCUCCGGGGUCCGAGUUGUAAUUUGCAGAGGAUGCUUCGGGUGCGGUCGCUAAGUCUGGAAUGGGUCGUCAUAGAGGGUGAGAAUCNCNGUCUGGGACGGGUGNNGUGUCCGUGUGAAGCUCCUUCGACGAGUCGAGUUGUUUGGGAAUGCAGCUCUAAAUGGGUGGUAAAUUUCAUCUAAAGCUAAAUAUUG
rnacentral:rRNA from 1 species